GCCUGAUUAUAAAUACUGCUUUGUGAAAAUCCAGCCACACCACAGUCUCAGUCGAGCUGCAUUUUUUCGAAACUCAGCUUUCCUUCCUGGGCAUACAGCAUCUGUUUCCAGUCAAGAGCCAGGGCGAGCCCGGCUUCCACGUGGCCUGCCACAGAAGGCCCAGCCAUGGUACUUAAAAGCUCGUGGGCCUCAGAUAAUUGGCCUCCUAACCAAAUUCAGCUGCUGGGGCCUGAUCAGAAACUGCUGGGUUUCUUUUUCCCUAAGCCGAUUUAAUUCCCACCGCCAAGCCCUCUGACCUUAUUUUCUUUCUUUCUCUGGCCUAAUUCCUGGAAAAUGGAGUCUGGAAAUACCUAGGGACUACUUGGGUGGGCUCCAAAGCUUCAGGGAGAAGAGAUAGGACUGAAGGAUGCAAAAGGGAUGAAGAGAGAAGCCAGGCACCAAGGCCACAUCUUGUGACUCCAUUUACAGGAAAUAUACCGUUUAGGAUACCCCUUGAGUUCCAGGUGCCUCACAUCCUGUGAAGAUGUUUGCUCCUUGCUGUCUUCAUGUAUUCAUGCCAGCUGCCACGAUGGCCUGGACAUCUAGACUACGUUUGCUUUAACUCUGCAGCAAAUCUUUUCCAGGUCUGCAGAGUCUAUAUGUCAUGACUCUGCUCCCCCUGGAAGUCUGGGGACACCUGGAGGCUGCUAUGCCAUACUGGCACUACAAGAAAUGAGGUGGAGGCCAGGCACGGUGCCUCACACCUGUAAUCCCAGCACUUUGGGAGGCCGAGGUGGGUGGAUCACCUGAGGUCAGGAGCUGGAGACCAGCCUGGCCAACAUGGUGAAACCCUGUCUCUAUCAAAAAUACAAAAAUGAGCUGGGCGUGGUGGUGGGCACCUGUAUUCUAGCUACUCAGGAGGCUGAAGCAGGAGAAUCACUUGAACCUGGGAGGCAGAGGUUGCAGUGAGCCAAGAUCACGCCCUUGCACUCCAGCCUGGGCAACAAGAGCAAAACUCCAUCUCAAAAAAAAAAAAAGAAAAGAAAGAAAUGAGGUAGAGCUGAGGUUGUUCACCCACUUGUUUGCUACUCUUAGACGCACAGAAAAAUCAUUCUACUGCUCCCACGUUACCCAGGGUAUUGGGAACCCUUCAAGGCUGACUCAGACCCGGGAUGGAGCAGCUAUUUCACCCCUACUUCUUUUGUGCCAUCUUGUGGCACAGGAAGAGAUUCGUGUAUGUGCCCCUUUCCCAGGUUCCACCUGCAAAGCAGGCACAGUUCUCCUCCUCUCUCCAAUUUUCCAAACCUGUAUGAGUCUCUGAAGUGGAAUUCAAAUAUACAUUUGACUGAAAAGCUCGGGUACUUCCUCCUACACAUUACCUUGUUGGAAUGUGUGUGUGUGUGUGUGUGUGUGUGUGUGUGUGUGUGUGUGUGUCAGGAUCUUGCUCUGUCUCCCAGGCUGGAAUGCAGCGGUGCAAUCACAGCUCACAGCAGCCUCGACCUCCCAGGCUCAAGUGAUCCUCCCACCUCAGCCUCCUGCAUAGCUAGGACUACAGGCGUGCACCACCACACUCAGCUACCUUGUUGGAUUUAAUUGGCACCUUAGAAAGAUGUAAAUCUUUUGAUAGCAGUUGAGGUAAGGAGACUUUCAGGUAUAAAAACAGAUAAUCCUACAUAGUGGAGCCUCAAGAGCAUUGUUAACAGGGUGCAAAAACAGAAACUGUCAAGCAGAAGUUUGUCAAUGUGCCCCUGCCUGCUCUGUGUGCACACAUUUCACCAAAGCUCUGGGGUCCGGAUAGGAAAGCCCUGCUGGGACGAAGUGCACUUGGAAAGUCAAAAAGACACAGGGGUUUAUAUAAAAAUGAAUAUCUGAAUAAUUCCAGGCAAUGAACAAACCUUGAAAACAUGCUAAGUGAAGGAAACCAAACACAAAAAGCCACAUAUCCAUUUAUAUGAUAUGUCCACAGUAGGCAAAUCCAUUGAGACACAAAGCACACUGGUGGUUGCCAGGGACUAGGAGGAAGUAGAAAUGGGGGUGACUAAUGGGUCUGGCAUUUAUUUUUGGGGAUGAUGAAACUGUUCUGGAACUAGUAGUGAUAGUUGUACAUCAUGAAUGUCCUGGAAGUUACUGAGUUACACACUUUAUACUUGUAAAAAUGGUGAAUUACUAUGUGAAUUUUACCUCCUUAAAAAAAAUCCAGGCCAGGCACAGAGGCUCAACACCUGUAAUCUCAACACUUUAGGAGGCCAAGGCAGGUGGAUUGCUUGAGCCCAGGAGUUGGAAACCAGCCUGGGCAAUAUGGCAAAACCUCAUCUCCACAAAAAAAUACAAAAAUUAGCCAGGCAUGGUGGUGCAUGCCUGUGGUCCCAGCUACUGGGGAGGCUGAGGUGGGAGGAUCACCUAAGCCUGGGGAGGUCGAGGUUGCAGUGAGCUGUGAUCUCACCACUAUACUCUAGCCUGGGCAACAGAGUGAGACCCUGUCUGAAAAAAAAAAAAUCAAGAUAUAUUUGGGUUUGGUCAGAGGUCUCAGGGAGGGAGGGAGUCUACAUUGAAGUAGGGUUUGGGGGUACGCUAGCUUUUGUCUUUGGAUAUGCAGUUCAGGACAGUUUGUCUUUGGAUAUGCAGUUCAGGACAGUUUGUCUUUGGAUAUGCAGUUUUAGGACAGUUUUUGUUAUCUCCUAGCUUUUGUCUUUGGAUAUGCAGUUCAGGACAGUUUGUUUAACUCCAUCAUCUCAUCACUCUAAAAAUUUUUGGUGUAUCUAGUUCAGACGCUCCAGCCCUUGAUAAGUCUUAACUGGAACAGAAGAAAAUUCUGAGAUUUAGAAUUUUGCUUAUUUCCAAACAACUGUGAAUGUCUAGAGUUGGAGGCAAAGACUUCUAGUCCCAAUAGAAGGCACCAAUCUACUGUCUGGAAAAAUCCUUUAGCCCUGUGUCCCUCUCCUUCUAGCCCCACUGUGAAAGAACAUAUCAUUCUCUAGUCAUAAUAGUGACCAUCGUGGGUUAAAAACCCUUACUAUUUGCCAAGUCUGGUGCUAAGCAUUUCAUUUAAUCCUCAUCAAAAAAAAAAAAAGAAAAAAGAAAGAAAGAAAAGAAAAGAAAAAGAAAAUGGCAAAUGGCAAUACAAGGUCUCAAUCAGUUAAGCAUCAUUCUUAAGAUCACACAGCUGAUAAGUGGCAGGACUGGGAUUCAAAACCAAAAUUGCCUCCAAAGCCCCAUCCUUAACCAUUAUAUCAUUCUACCUCUUUCCGAUUAACCCUGGUGAGUUUUGCUUAGGGCUCUUAUCAUUGGUUCCUCUCACAUUCAGUGGUGUUGAGAUUCUAGGGUGAAAAUUGAGCAAGAGGUUCAGGAUCUGGUAAUAUCAGAAUAGCUUAUCAAACUAGCCCUCCCACAUGUAACAAUUAUCUAAUCUGGACAAAAUAGUUUAACAAAACAAUUGCGUUAAAGCACUCUGCAGCAACCAAAAGAAGGCAGAAAGGGAGGGGAUCCAACCCUUGAAUGAAAGACAGCACAUUGAGUGAGAGCUGCGUUCACUGGCUCUUCCCCUGAAGGUGUGUCCCCAUCUAUACACUGCAUGGGGAAUGGAGUGGCUGGAAAUUUAGGGAGAAAAAUCUUAAUCCUAAGUGACGGAACCAUGGAAGGGGUGCCCUAAAAUCUGUGUACCAAUUAUCUUCAAAUCCUUGGCUGACUGCUAAACAGUUCAUAUGCAGGGUGAGAUUGUAAGUUUCCCAGAGGCAAGAAACUGCAUCAAGACGAAAGAGUCAAGCCCUGCCAAGGUAGAGAAGCUUUGUAGACACAGCGCCCUUUUUGUUGAAACACUUGCAGGGCCACACCUUAGGAAUAAGGACCACAUCUUAGAAUUUAGGUCUAUACCCUAGGAAUAAGGACAAAACUGAAAGAGAUCCACUCCAAUAAAGGCUAAAACUAAGCUUCCACAGGACUAAGAUUGUCUGUCAACGAUUUAGCCAUCUGCUAGGGCAAAACUCAAUGCCUUUCAAAGAAAGAUAGUAAACUCCAGAGACUCUAGAGUGUGUUACAUAGAAUAAACAUAUAGUAUAAGCCAGACACAAUGGCACAUGUCUGUAAUCCCAGCUACUGGGGAACCUAAGGCAGGAGGAUUGUUUGAGCCCAGGAGUUCAAGACCAGCCUGGACAAUAUAGUGAGCCCUUGGCUCAAUUUCUUUUUAAUUACUUGGCAUAUGAUAUGGUUUCAAUAUUUGUCCCAUCCAAAUCACAUGUUGAAAUGUAAUCCCCAGUGUUGGAGUUGGGGCCUGGUGGGAGGUGUUUGAGUCAUGGGGGUGGAUCCCUCAUGGCUUCGUGCUGUCCUCACAAUAGUGAGUAAGUUUUUGAGAGAUCUUGUUAAGAAUGUGUGGCACCUCCCCCGCACUCUCUCUUGCUCCCACUCUUGCAGUAUGAGACACCUGUUCCCCCUUCACUUUCUGCCACAAUUGUUAAGAUUCCUGAGCCCCACCCUACCAGAAGCCAAGCAGAUGCUGGCACCAUGAUUGUACAGCCUGCAGAACCAUGAGCCAAUUAAAUCUCUUUUCUUUAUAAAUUACCCAGUCUCAGAUAUUUCUUUAUAGAAAUGCAAGAAUGGCAUAAUAUAGCAUACAAACAGCCAGAAAAAUAUGACAGUCAAGAGAAUAGUCAACAGAAGCAGACCCAAAGAUGAGUCAGAUAUUGGAGAUAGCAAAGACCUUGAAAAAAAUUAGAAAAAACUUUAAAAAUGCAACAUACAAACAGCCAGGAAAAUAUGACAAUACAAUCAUGUGUCACAUAACAACAGAGGAACGUUAUGAGAAAUGAAUCAUUAAGCAAUUUUAUGUAUGAAUAUCAUCGAGCAUACUUACACAAACCUAUAUGGUAUAGCCUACUACAUACCUAGGCUAUAUGGUAUAACUUAUCACUCUUAGAUUACAAACCUAUACAGCAUGUUGCUGUACUGAAUGUUGUAGGGAAUUAUAACACAAUGACAAUUAUUUAUGUAGCUAGAAAUAUCUAAACUUAGAAAAGUUACAGUAAAAAUAUGAUAUACAAGAUUAAAAAAAUGAUACACCUAUAUAGGGAACUUACCGUGAAUGGAGCUUGCAGGACUGGAAGUUGCUCUAGGUGAGUCAGUGAGUGGUGAGUGAAUGUGAAGGCCUAGGACAUUACUGUACACUACUGUAGACUUUAUCAACAUUAUACUCUUAGGCUGUACUAAAUUUAUUUUUUAAAUAUUUUUUCUUCAAUAAUAAAUUA
rnacentral:lncRNA from 10 species